rnacentral:rRNA from 1 species
UACGUAGGGUGCGAGCGUUGUCCGGAAUUACUGGGCGUAAAGAGCUCGUAGGUGGUGUGUCGCGUUGUUCGUGAAAACUCACAGCUUAACUGUGGGCGUGCGGGCGAUACGGGCAGACUGGAGUACUGCAGGGGAGACUGGAAUUCCUGGUGUAGCGGUGGAAUGCGCAGAUAUCAGGAGGAACACCGGUGGCGAAAGCGCUCAUCUGGCCCAAUACUGACGCUGAGGCGCGAAAGCCAGGGGAGCAAACGGG